rnacentral:rRNA from 1 species
UGCAGAAAAAGCACCGGCUAACUACGUGCCAGCAGCCGCGGUAAUACGUAGGGUGCAAGCGUUGUCCGGAAUUAUUGGGCGUAAAGAGCUCGUAGGCGGUUUGUCGCGUCUGCUGUGAAAUCUGGGGGCUCAACCCCCAGCCUGCAGUGGGUACGGGCAGACUAGAGUGCGGUAGGGGAGAUUGGAAUUCCUGGUGUAGCGGUGGAAUGCGCAGAUAUCAGGAGGAACACCGAUGGCGAAGGCAGAUCUCUGGGCCGUAACUGACGCUGAGGAGCGAAAGCAUGGGGAGCGAACAGGAUUAGAUACCCUGGUAGUCCAUGCCGUAAACGUUGGGAACUAGAUGUAGGGGCCAUUCCACGGUUUCUGUGUCGCAGCUAACGCAUUAAGUUCCCCGCCUGGGGAGUACGGCCGCAAGGCUAAAACUCAAAGGAAUUGACGGGGGCCCGCACAAGCGGCGGAGCAUGCGGAUUAAUUCGAUGCAACGCGAAGAACCUUACCAAGGCUUGACAUAUACCGGAAACGUCCAGAGAUGGUCGCCCCGCAAGGUCGGUAUACAGGUGGUGCAUGGUUGUCGUCAGCUCGUGUCGUGAGAUGUUGGGUUAAGUCCCGCAACGAGCGCAACCCUCGUUCUAUGUUGCCAGCACGUUAUGGUGGGAACUCAUAGGAGACUGCCGGGGUCAACUCGGAGGAAGGUGGGGAUGACGUCAAAUCAUCAUGCCCCUUAUGUCUUGGGCUUCACGCAUGCUACAAUGGCCGAUACAAAGGGCUGCAAUACCGCGAGGUGGAGCGAAUCCCAAAAAGUCGGUCUCAGUUCGGAUUGAGGUCUGCAACUCGACCUCAUGAAGUCGGAGUCGCUAGUAAUCGCAGAUCAGCAACGCUGCGGUGAAUACGUUCCCGGGCCUUGUACACACCGCCCGUCAAGUCAUGAAAGUCGGUAACACCCGAAGCCGGUGGCCCAA